CCUACGGGAGGCUGCAGUGGGGAAUAUUGGACAAUGGGGGGAACCCUGAUCCAGCCAUGCCGCGUGUGUGAAGAAGGCCCUCGGGUUGUAAAGCACUUUCAGUGAGGAAGAACGCCUGGUGGUUAAUACCCAUCAGGAAAGACAUCACUCACAGAAGAAGCACCGGCUAACUCCGUGCCAGCAGCCGCGGUAAUACGGAGGGUGCGAGCGUUAAUCGGAAUUACUGGGCGUAAAGCGCGCGUAGGUGGCUUGAUAAGCCGGUUGUGAAAGCCCCGGGCUCAACCUGGGAACGGCAUCCGGAACUGUCAAGCUAGAGUGCAGGAGAGGAAGGUAGAAUUCCCGGUGUAGCGGUGAAAUGCGUAGAGAUCGGGAGGAAUACCAGUGGCGAAGGCGGCCUUCUGGACUGACACUGACACUGAGGUGCGAAAGCGUGGGUAGCAAACAGGAUUAGAUCCCCGGUAGUC
rnacentral:rRNA from 1 species